AAACCAAUCCAAAAAAGUGUCAGGUGCAAUCUGGCCAAAAUCCUGAUCAUGUCGAAAAUCAAAUCAUUUUGACGGAUACUUAGGCUAUAACCAGAUCAUGAUUCCACUGAAGGGCCAGGAGAAAACAACUUUCACAUGCCCUUAUAGAACAUUCUCAUUCCGUCGAAUGUCGUACGGUUUGUGUAACGCACCUACUACGUUCCAGCGGUGUAUGAUGGCAAUUUUUUCUAACAUUAUUGAAAAUGUGAUUGAAAUUUUUAUGGAUGACUUUUCGGUAUUUGGGGAGUCUUUUGAGAAUUGUCUUAAAAAUCUUGAAAAAGUUUUGGAGAGAUGUGAAAAAACAAACCUUGUUUUAAAUUGGGAGAAAUGUUAUUUCAUGGUAAAAGAAGGUAUUGUUUUGGGUCACAAAAUUUCAAACAAAGGAAUGGAAGUAGAUCGAGCUAAAAUUGAGUUAAUUUCAAAACUUCCACCACCCUCGUCAGUUAAAGGUAUUCGAAGUUUUUUCGGCCAUGCUGGAUUUUAUCAUCGUUUUAUCAAAGACUUUGUUAAAAUAUCAAAACCUUUAUGCCGUAUUUUUGAAAUUGAGAGGCCAUUUGAAUUUGAUGAAGAAUGCAUGAAUUCAUUUGAGACUCUUAGGAAGGUAUUAAGUUCAGCACCUAUCAUAGUAGAACAUGACUGAAAUAUACCAUUUGAGGUAAUGUGUGACGUGAGUGACUUUGCAUUAGGAGCCAUGUUAGGGUAGAGAAAAAAAUAAAAUUUUGCAUCUAGUUUACUAUGCCAGUAAGACUUUAGCUGCAACACAGCUUAACUAUACUACCACAGAGAAAGAACUGUUAGUUGUUGUGUUUGCCUUUGAAAAAUUUAGAUCAUAUUUGAUAGGUUAUAAAGUUAUUGUUUUUACUGAUCAUUCUGCUUUGAAGUAUUUGUUUGCUAAGAAAGACACGAAGCCAAGGUUGAUUCGGUGGAUUUUACUUCUUCAAGAAUUCGACUUAGAGAUUCGAGAUAUGGAAGGUACAGAGAAACAGGUGGCAGACCAUUUGUCUCGAUUGGAAUCCACUGACCUAAACACCCAUCAGCAAUCAAGGAAUACUUCAUCGAUGAGCACAUCCUUUGUAUUGAUAACAUCCCAUGGUGUGCAGAUAUUGCUAACUUUUUGGUUGUAGCUGACAAGGAACAAGCAAAAAUCCUGGAAGCAUGCCAUACAUCCUCGUAUGGUGCGAACUUUGUUGGUCGAAAAACUGCAACAAAGGUGAAGAAUCUCAUUAUGAAAUUAUUAUCUAUUAUACAUUUGGGGUGGGCCAACUCUUCAUUGGGGUCUCGUAUAACACCUACCACCGGACACAGAGCUGUGAUCAGAACCCGUGACCAAGAAUGCCUUUGGUGGCACCUCAUCCGAAUGUGGCGUAUGGAAUGGAAAAUAAAUGUGCCUACAUCGAUCGUUUUUCUUGGACAUAAAGAAGGAUCGCCCUCUCCUUAGUAAUAUUACUCAUGUGGGCCACAAGCAAUAAUUUAGCACAAAUAAAACAUCGUUACACUCUGUUGGUUUAA